UACAGAGGGUGCAAGCGUUAAUCGGAAUUACUGGGCGUAAAGCGAGCGUAGGUGGCUUAAUAAGUCAGAUGUGAAAUCCCCGGGCUUAACCUGGGAACUGCAUCUGAUACUGUUGGGCUAGAGUAGGUGAGAGGGAGGUAGAAUUUCAGGUGUAGCGGUGAAAUGCGUAGAGAUCUGAAGGAAUACCGAUGGCGAAGGCAGCCUCCUGGCAUCAUACUGACACUGAGGUUCGAAAGCGUGGGUAGCAAACAGGAUUAGAAACCCGGGUAGU
rnacentral:rRNA from 1 species